rnacentral:misc_RNA from 1 species
CGCCGGGUUCGCGGACACGUUCCAGGUCGCCAGCGCGGCGCCGGACGGGUCCGCGACGAGCCUGAAAUCCGACAGAGCCGCGACGUCGGCAUCCAGAGAGCCGGCAUUGGCGAAGGAACGCAGCAGCAGCAGCAGCAGCAGCGGUGGCAGGAGGAGCAGCAGAGCAGUGCUGCCGUUGGGAGGCAUGCUCGCUUCUUUUUGUGGUUUUCUUGGGGGCUCGCGGUUGGCUCGCGCCCGCGCGCUGGUCGCGCUGCUCGCUCCGGUGCAAGUAGGAAAUGGACAGCGGCGAGAGAGACGGAGGCACGGUGGGUUGGUUCUUGUCUGUCUGGUGCUCGUCGCACGGACAGUGGCUGCCCUUGUCGCUGGAGCCUUUUGCCCUCCCGUCUUUGUACUGCUUUUAUUUUAUCUACUGAGCACGGGAGCAGGGAACAGUGAAGCCGCUGCGAUCGUGGCCCCACCACAUGGGUGCGGUGGCGAACGGCGAGCUUCCCUACCUAGCCGCUUGCAGAGGACUGGAGUGCAGGAGCGACGCAGGACCAAGGCGAUGGGAGCGGUCGGAUGACGCCUGGGCUCCACACUACCGUUGUUCGGCGUCCUGGCACGUCGUUGUCGCGGUGGGACUUUACUACUCCAGUGGCCUCGGGAUGCGUGGUAGCCGACCGCGUGCUGGAGACGAUCGUGCGCAAUCCGGUGAUCAUUAUGGCGCCAAGAAGUUGCGUUCCCGCGCGCGGUAGAAGUUGGUAGCGCUAUGCUCUACUGCUCUCGGACUAAACUUUAAGCGCACCGGCUCACAACAUAUGGGACGAGAUACUUUCCAUAAAAAUAGGUUCCUCUUAAUGCCGGCGUUUUACAUAAAUAGUAUAGAAAAAAAAUAAGGAGACUUCAUUUAAUAAGAGAAAAAGAACAAGACUGAG